rnacentral:sRNA from 2 species
CCGGAGCCCGCACCAACUCACCCGUGUACGGCAGGAGCGGGGGACCCACAGGUACAACGCCUGUUCCGGUCUCCGGAACGGCUAGGGGUACAGCCGCGACCAGCGCGCGGCCGGGCAUCUCCAGCCCGCACCCGACAGCUCACCUCGCAGGCGCCGGAGAGGAAUU